ACUUUCUAGCCGGACAAACAGCAGUCCAGGGCCAGGCACACAGCAGUCCAGGACCGGGCACAGCACUCACCCACGUCUUGCUCGAAGGGGUUGGCGGUGAACAAAGGCAUCUCGCCGGCGCCCGAGCCCUAGUCGCUGCUGUCUAGCUAACACUCAGCAACUGCUACCCGCCGGGUGACCCGCGGCCGCGGCUCCCUAGGCCGCUCCGCUUCGGCCUCCGUCCCUGCACUUCCGCCACCGCACCUGCCCGGCUCUUGCCUGACAGGCCGGCUCGGAGUCCACCCUUCUUCGAUCCCUCGCUUCUGUCCCAACUUUUCUCCCGGGGCGAGAUCCCUCCGACCAUGGGCGUCCUCCCAAGGCCUUCGCUGCCCCAGUCCCAGACUUUUGUAUUGGUCAGGCGGCCGCUACGGCCACCUUUCCAGCGCUAGGACCCCGGCUAGCCACGAAGCCGGGGACCUUCGGAGCCGGAAGUAGUCCCGCCUGGAACUGGACGACCCCGGAAGCUGCAGUGCCAGCGGCGGCGCGGCAGGGGGCGUGGUUACCCGUGGUUUUUCGCGUUGGACGACGGGCUCUGAGGGCCAAGUUCUUGUCACGAAUUUAGUUUGUUUCAGAGCGGCAGGACUCGUAGCUAGAGAACGAGGACCCACGAUGCAUACGCGUUACAGUCCUGUUUCCCUAGAAACGGAGCUGCCGGCGCGGAGGUGGCUUUGAGAUUCUGCGAAAGACCUGACUGCUCUUCAACACUUAUUGUGUUGCACCCUCCCAGGCGCCCAGUCCAAACCCGUCAGAAUAACCACCCGGGACAGCGGUGGUCGAAGUAACUACGCCUAACUUUUCGCUUUCCAUUGUGUCCCCUCCAUAAAAACACUGCUGGGCCCCCGGAAUCCGAAGGCGAAGGAGGCACACUCCCUGCCUUAGACUUGCUGAGAGUUUUAUAGGGGCAGUGCAUAACGUACAUGAUGGUGUAUGACGAUUCGGAUGGUAGUACGAGUCAUAAACUCAAAUUCCAACAGCAUCCAGCCAGGACUUUUAAAAUUCCUUGCAAGGCAAGUCUACUGGUGGCAAAUUCCCUCAAAUUUUGUUUGCCUGAGAAAGUCUUUCUCCCUCACUGUUGAAGGAUAAUUUCACUGGAUACAGAAUUCUAGAGCUGGGAUCUCACUAUGCUGCCUGGGCUGGUCUUGAACUCCUGGGCUCAAACGAUCCUCCUGCCAUGGUCUCCAAAAGUGCUAGGAUUACAGAUGGAGUCUUACUCUGUCGGCUCACUGCAACCUCCACCUCCAGAGUUAAAUCGAUUCUCCUGCCUCAGCCUCCCGAGUAGUUGGGAUUACAGGUGACUGACACCAUGCCUGGCUAAUCUUUGUACUUUUAGUAGAGACAGUUUCACCAUAUUGGCCAGGCUGGUCUUGAAUUGCUGACCUUGGGAUCUCCCCGCCUCGGCCUCACAAAGUGCCAGGAUUACAGGCCUGAGCCACUGCACCCAGCCAAUAUUUUAUUUUUUCUUGAGAUGGAGUCUCACUCUAUCACCCAGGCGGGAGUGCAGUGGCGUGAUCUUGGCUCACUGCAACCUUUGCCUCCUGGGCUCAAAUGAUCCUCUAUCCUCAGCCUCCUGAGUAGCUGGGACUACAGGCGUAUGCUGUCAUGUUUGGCUAACUGGCUAACACCACCUCUAUCUGGUUCCAAAACAUUUUCACCACUCUAAAAGGAAAUCCCAUACUUGCUAAGCCAUCAAUUCCCAUUCUCCCCUCUCUCUGCCCCUGCUAACCACAAAUAUGCUUUCUGUCUCUGUGGGUUUACCUGUUAUGGAUAUUUCAUGUAGAUGGAUCCAUAUGAUAUGUGACCUUUUUUGUCUUUCUUCUUUCUCUUAACACAAUGUUUUGAGAGUCAUCCAUAUUGUAGCAUGUUUCAGUAACUUUCUUCCUUUUUAUGGCUGAAUAAUAUUCCAUGAUAUAUCUAUAUUACAAUCUGUUUAUCCAUUCUUCUAUUGAUAAGACAUCUGGCUGUUUCCACUUUUUUGCUAUUGUGAAUAGUGCUUCUGUGAACUUGUGUGUACACCAAACUCUUUUUAAUAUCUAGUCAAAUAUGGCUCACAUAUAGUUUAUGGCCAGAAUGCUUAUAAAUACUUUUGGAAGCAGUUAACUAUCUUCCUGAGCUGGAUUCAAUCAAGACCACUACCCUGUUGUCUAAUCUCUGACUUCGUUUAUGUCUUUGUUUCUAGUUUUACUACUCAAUAAAUUGAGAAAGUAUAUAGAGUAUCUCCUAAUCCUUGCUGUGUUCCUGUAACCAUAUAAGUAUAAAACUAAAAUCUGACAAAGUCUUUAUAGUCAAUGCCACAUUCAGUCACUUAAGGAACCAUUAACAUCAGAAAGAGAAAAGACCAUGUUUUACAAAAUGUUUCCAACUGACCAAUUACUUACUGGGAAGAAAAGUAGGGUGAAAGUGCCAGGCUAUUCAGAUCAGUUAGGGUAACAAAGAUGUAAAUAUUUUUCUUCUUUGAAUUGCAAUGGUGGGGAUCAUUUCUCUUCUUCAGUAUGUAAUAAUAUAAUAAAAACUGUUUUUUCCACAUUA